rnacentral:rRNA from 1 species
CCUACGGGUGGCAGCAGUGAGGAAUAUUGGUCAAUGGACGAGAGUCUGAACCAGCCAAGUAGCGUGAAGGAUGACGGCCCUAUGGGUUGUAAACUGCUUUUAUAAAGGAAUAAAACGAGGCACGUGUGCCGGGUUGCAUGUACGGUAUGAAUAAGGAUCGGCUAACUCCGUGCCAGCAGCCGCGGUAAUACGGAGGAUCCGAGCGUUAUCCGGAUUUAUGGGGUUUAAAGGGAGCGUAGAUGGGUUGUUAAGUCAGUUGUGAACGUUGGGGGCUCAACCGGAAAAUUGCAAUUGAUACUGUCAGUCUUGCGUACAGUUGCGGUAGGCGGAAUUCGUGGUGUAGCGG